AGAUUGAACGCUGGCGGCAUGCCUUACACAUGCAAGUCGAACGGUAGAGUAGCAAUACUCGAGAGUGGCGAACGGGUGAGUAAUAUAUCGGAACGUGCCCAGUCGUGGGGGAUAACGUAGAGAAAUUUACGCUAAUACCGCAUACGAUCUACGGAUGAAAGCGGGGGAUUCGCAAGAACCUCGCGCGAUUGGAGCGGCUGAUAUCAGAUUAGGUUGUGGUAGAGGUAAAAGCUC
rnacentral:rRNA from 1 species